UGCGUAGGCGGCCUUGUGUGUCGGAUGUGAAAUCUCACUGCUCAACGGUGAAACUGCAUCCGAAACUGCAGGGCUUGAGUACAGGAGGGGAGAGCGGAAUUCUCGGUGUAGCGGUGAAAUGCGUUGAUAUCGAGAAGAACACCGGUGGCGAAGGCGGCUCUCUGGACUGAUACUGACGCUGAGGCACGAAAGCGUGGGGGAGCGAACA
rnacentral:rRNA from 1 species